rnacentral:rRNA from 1 species
CCGGCUUACCAACCCGAUGCAAACUGCGAAUACCGGAGAAUGUUAUCACGGGAGACACACGGCGGGUGCUAACGUCCGUCGUGAAGAGGGAAACAACCCAGACCGCCAGCUAAGGUCCCAAAGUCAUGGUUAAGUGGGAAACGAUGUGGGAAGGCCCAGACAGCCAGGAUGUUGGCUUAGAAGCAGCCAUCAUUUAAAGAAAGCGUAAUAGCUCACUGGUCGAGUCGGCCUGCGCGGAAGAUGUAACGGGGCUAAACCAU